rnacentral:rRNA from 1 species
UACGAAGGGGGCUAGCGUUGUUCGGAAUUACUGGGCGUAAAGCGCGCGCAGGCGGUCCUUCAAGUCAGAGGUGAAAGCCCAGAGCUCAACUCUGGAAUGGCCUUUGAGACUAGAGGACUUGGGUACGGGAGAGGUGAGUGGAAUUCCGAGUGUAGAGGUGAAAUUCGUAGAUAUUCGGAAGAACACCAGUGGCGAAGGCGGCUCACUGGCCCGUUACCGACGCUGAGACGCGAAAGCGUGGGGAGCGAACAGG